UUGGACGGUCAUAGCAGGUUGGUUACACCCGAUCCCAUUUCGAACUCGGAUUGAGUCUUGGAACUUGGCUCACGAGAGAGUUAAGCAACCUCACGUUUCAAGCUGUACUGUACUUAUGUACGGGAAACUUGAUUAGCUGUCCACC
rnacentral:rRNA from 1 species